rnacentral:rRNA from 1 species
CCCUUAGAUGUUCUGGGCCGCACGCGCGCUACACUGAUGCAUUCAACGAGUCCAACCUCGACCGAGAGGUCCGGGUAAUCUUUGAAACUGCAUCGUGAUGGGGCUAGAUUAUUGCAAUUAUUAAUCUUCAACGAGGAAUGCCUAGUAAGCGUGAUUCAUCAAAUCGCGUUGAUUACGUCCCUGCCCUUUGUACACACCGCCCGUCGCUCCUACCGAUUGAGUGUGUUGGUGAGGAGUUUGGAUUGGCCUCGGAAGGUGGUUCGCCACCGUCCGUAGCUGAGAAGUUCUCCAAACCGCCCCACUUAGAGGAAGGAGAAGUCGUAACA